CAUGAAGUUCCCGUGUCUACUAGCACCCGGAUCCGUCUUAUCUUCCUGCCUUUCCUUGCGCGAUGAUCGUGCCUCUUCCCCCGACAUUUUAGAAUAUCUGAAAUUCGGGACACGUGGCUCCAGAUGAUCGAAGGAUACCUUACAAGGGACAAGGUGCCGUAACUCAUAUCGCCACUCGCAUUCUUUUCUCGAUUCAUCGCUUAACGUGCAUCUCUAACGAGUUGGAAAAUUAUUUCGAGCAUCCCAUGCCCGAGUUAUUUCACUUAAAAA